AAAGGUUUGACUAGAACUGA
rnacentral:snRNA from 1 species